rnacentral:rRNA from 1 species
GUCGACCUCAGAUCAGGCGAGCCCAAACCCGCUGAAUUUAAGCAUAAUCACUAAGCGGAGGAAAAGAAACCAACAGGGAU